AUACGGAGGGAGCGAGCGUUAAUCGGAAUUACUGGGCGUAAAGCGCGCGUAGGCGGCUUUGUAAGUCGGAUGUGAAAGCCCAGGGCUUAACCCUGGAAUUGCAUUCGAUACUGCAUGGCUAGAGUAUGGUAGAGGGAAGUGGAAUUUCCGGUGUAGCGGUGAAAUGCGUAGAUAUCGGAAGGAACACCAGUGGCGAAGGCGACUUCCUGGGCCAAUACUGACGCUAAGGUGCGAAAGCGUGGGGAGCAAACAGGAUUAGAAACCCCGGUAGUCC
rnacentral:rRNA from 1 species